rnacentral:rRNA from 1 species
GGUUCAGGACGAACGCUGGCGGCGUGCUUAACACAUGCAAGUUGAACGGUAUGACAUGGAAGCUUGCUGAAGUGUCAUAUAGUAGCGGACGGGUGAGUAAUGCAUGAGAAGCUGCCAUUGGGAGGGGGACAACAGUUGGAAACGGCUGCUAAUACCCCGUAUGCCGGAAGGUGAAAGGGAGCGAUCCGCCCGAUGAGGUGCUCAUGUCCUAUCAGCUGGUUGGUGGGGUAACGGCCUACCAAGGCGACGACGGGUAGCCGGCCUGAGAGGGUGAACGGCCACACUGGAACUGAGAUACGGUCCAGACUCCUACGGGAGGCAGCAGUGGGGAAUAUUGGGCAAUGGGGGGCAACCCUGACCCAGCGACGCCGCGUGGGGGAAGACGGCCUUCGGGUUGUAAACCUCUUUUGUACGGGAAGAAGGAAGUGACGGUACUGUACGAAUAAGUCCCGGCUAACUACGUGCCAGCAGCUGC